rnacentral:piRNA from 1 species
UCUUGAGCCAUGUUUUUCUUUCGGGUGUUA